UUGUCAAAAAAAUUCUAUAAAACCCCGUCCUUCCUCCUCUCUGCAGCGCUGCAGAUUCCACCAUGGCAACUGUACGGAUGAUAGACAUUGCAGUUAACUUCACAGAUAGCAUGUUCAAGGGAAUCUACAAUGGCAAGCAGUGCCACGUGUCUGAUAUUGCAGCAGUGUUGAGCAGAGCUUGGAGUGCCGGUGUUGAUAGAAUUAUUGUGACUGGUGGGUCACUUGAGGAAUCAAAGGAAGCUCUUGCAAUUGCAGAAACAGAUGGAAGGCUUUUCUGUACAGUGGGGGUGCACCCAACCAGAUGCAAAGAAUUUGAAGACAGUGGGGAUCCAGACAAUCAUUUUCUGGAUCUUAUGUCAUUAGCUAAAGAGGGAGUGGCAAAGGGCAAGGUGGUGGCAAUUGGUGAAUGUGGAUUGGAUUACGACAGGCUUCACUUUUGCCCAUCUGAGGUUCAGAAGAAGUACUUUGAGAAGCAAUUUGAGUUAGCAUAUGCCAUGAAGCUGCCUAUGUUUCUGCAUAUGCGUGCUGCUGCUGAAGAUUUUUGUGAUAUUUUAGGGCGAAAUAUGGACAGAUUUGGUGGUGGGGUUGCACAUUCAUUCACUGGAAGUGCAGAAGAUCGUAAUAAACUUCUUUCAUUCAAUAAUCUGUUUAUAGGUGUAAAUGGUUGCUCUCUGAAGACUGCUGAAAAUCUUGAAGUUGUAAGGGGUAUUCCUGUUGAGAGACUGAUGAUUGAGACAGAUUCUCCAUAUUGUGAAAUAAAAAACACUCAUGCUGGGAUUAAUUUUGUGAAAUCUUUGUGGCCCUCUAAGAAGAAGGAGAAGUAUGAACAGGAGUGCAUUGUUAAGGGCCGCAAUGAGCCAUGUUUGGUUCGUCGUCUCCAGGCAAGUUCUUGAGGUUGUAGCUGGCUGUAAAGGUGUCAGUGACAUAGAACAACUAAGCAAGACUUUGUACCACAACACCUGCAGAGUUUUCUUUCCUCAAGAUUUGGACUCUGCGGCAGAUGCUCUUCUUGCUGGCAGUCAUGGCACUAAGUGACCAAAUCUUUUUGCAAUUUUGCUAAAUAUGGCUUCUUUCUUGCCGAAUGAUUUGAUCAGUUCCUCCAUUCUACCAGGAAAGCCAUAAGUUUCAGUCGUUUGGUAUUUGGAUAGAAGGGAAUGCAUUGAAAAUUGAAUGUUUCUGAGAGAAAUGUGCGACGAUGUUGUAUUUUGUUUCUAAAUUAAAAAUGGUACUACUGGCAGUUUUUUGAAAUCAAGUUCUCUUGGAGCUUCCAUUCUUUUUGGGCAUGAACAGAGAUUGUUUUGAAGAUUGAAUAACAUCAUCCAUUGGUAUA